rnacentral:rRNA from 1 species
UACGUAGGUGGCAAGCGUUUGUCCGGAAUUAUUGGGCGUAAAGCGCGCGCAGGCGGUCCUUUAAGUCUGAUGUGAAAGCCCACGGCUCAACCGUGGAGGGUCAUUGGAAACUGGGGGACUUGAGUGCAGGAGAGAAGAGUGGAAUUCCACGUGUAGCGGUGAAAUGCGUAGAGAUGUGGAGGAACACCAGUGGCGAAGGCGGUUCUCUGGGCCU